rnacentral:rRNA from 1 species
GGAGGGUGCAAGCGUUGUUCGGAAUCACUGGGCGUAAAGGGCGUGUAGGCGGUCCGCUAAGUCUGAUGUGAAAGCCCGGGGCUUACCCCCGGAAGGGCAUUGGAAACUGGCGGACUCGAGUCCCGGAGAGGAAGGUGGAAUUCCUGGUGUAGCGGUGAAAUGCGUAGAUAUUAGGAGGAAUACCGGUGGCGAAGGCGGCCUUCUGGACGGUGACUGACGCUGAGACGCGAAAGCGUGGGGAGCAAACAGGAUUAGAUACCCUGGUAGUCCACGCUGUAAACGAUGAGCACUAGGUGUCGUGGGUAUUGACCCCCGCGGUGCCGACGCUAACGCAUUAAGUGCUCCGCCUGGGGAAUACGGCCGCAAGGUUA